rnacentral:rRNA from 1 species
UAGGGAAUCUUCCGCAAUGGACGCAAGUCUGACGGAGCAACGCCGCGUGAGUGAAGAAGGAUUUCGGUUCGUAAAACUCUGUUGUUAGAGAAGAACAGCGCAUAGAGUAACUGUUAUGCGUGUGACGGUAUCUAACCAGAAAGCCACGGCUAACUACGUGCCAGCAGCCGCGGUAAUACGUAGGUGGCAAGCGUUGUCCGGAUUUAUUGGGCGUAAAGCGAGCGCAGGCGGUCAAUUAAGUCUGAUGUGAAAGCCCCCGGCUCAACCGGGGAGGGUCAUUGGAAACUGGUUGACUUGAGUGCAGAAGAGGAGAGUGGAAUUCCAUGUGGAGCGGUGAAAUGCGUAGAUAUAUGGAGGAACACCAGUGGCGAAGGCGACUCUCUGGUCUGUAACUGACGCUGAGGUUCGAAAGCGUGGGUAGCAAACAGG